rnacentral:rRNA from 1 species
UACGAAGGGGGCUAGCGUUGCUCGGAAUCACUGGGCGUAAAGCGCACGUAGGCGGAUUGCUAAGUCAGGGGUGAAAUCCUGGAGCUCAACUCCAGAACUGCCUUUGAUACUGGCGAUCUUGAGUCCGGGAGAGGUGAGUGGAACUGCGAGUGUAGAGGUGAAAUUCGUAGAUAUUCGCAAGAACACCGGUGGCGAAGGCGGCCUGCUGGGCAGUUGCUGACGCUGAGGCGCGACAGCGUGGGGAGCAAACAGG